AACGAACGCUGGCGGCAGGCCUAACACAUGCAAGUCGAACGGGUGUAGCAAUACAUCAGAGGCGCACGGGAGAGUAACGCGUGGGAACCUACCUUUUGGUUCGGAAUAACGUCGGGAAACUGACGCUAAUACCGGAUACGCCCUACGGGGGAAAGAUUUAUCGCCGAAAGAUGGGCCCGCGUAGAUUAGCUUGUUGGUGAGGUAACGGCUCACCAAGGCUACGAUCUAUAGCUGGUCUAAGAGGAUGAUCAGCCUCACUGGGACUGAGACACGGCCCAGACUCCUACGGGAGGCAGCAGUGGGGAAUAUUGGACAAUGGGGGCAACCCUGAUCCAGCCAUGCCGCGUGAAUGAUGAAGGCCUUCGGGUUGUAAAGUUCUUUUGGCGGGGACGAUGAUGACGGUACCCGCAGAAUAAGCUCCGGCUAACUUCGUGCCAGCCGCCGCCGUAA
rnacentral:rRNA from 1 species